CCCUUAGAUGUCCUGGGCUGCACGCGCGCUACACUGAUGUGUCCAGUAAGCACCUAACCUCUUCCGAAAGGAACGGGUAACCUUUGCAAAGCACAUCGUGAUGGGGAUAGAUUAUUGCAAUUAUUAGCCUUGAACGAGGAAUUCCUAGUAAGCACAAGUCAUCAGCUUGUGUUGAUUACGUCCCUGCCCUUUGUACACACCGCCCGUCGCUCCUACCGAUUGAAUGUUCCGGUGAGCUCUUCGGACUGCGCGGUCUGCAGUUUCUGCGUUCCGUGCGGAAAGUUGCGCAAACCUUAACAUUUAGAGGAAGGAGAAGGCGUAACA
rnacentral:rRNA from 1 species